rnacentral:rRNA from 1 species
CCAGCCUGCCCAGUGACAAAUGUUCAACGGCCGCGGUAUCCUAACCGUGCGAAGGUAGCGUAAUCACUUGUUCUUUAAAUGAGGACUAGUAUGAAUGGCACCACGAGGGUCGCACUGUCUCCUUCCCCUAAUCAAUGAAACUAAUCUUCCCGUGAAGAAGCGGGAAUUUAUCUAUAAGACGAGAAGACCCUAUGGAGCUUUAAAUUUCUCUUCAAACGCCAGACAUAAACCCUAAACAUCUUACACCAACCCGGCGCCAUGAAGAUGAAUUUUAGGUUGGGGUGACCACGGAGAACAAGACAACCUCCACGCUGAAUAGGCCUAAAACCUUGAACUAAGGACCACAGCCCGACGAACUAAAAAAUUAACACCCAUUGACCCAAUUCUUUUUGAUCAACGAA